CAGCAGCCACGGGAAAACGUAGGGCGCAAGCGUUGUCCGGAAUUAUUGGGCGUAAAGAGCUCGUAGGCGGUCUGUCGCGUCUGGUGUGAAAUCCCGAGGCUCAACCUCGGGCUUGCAUCGGGUACGGGCAGACUAGAGUGCGGUAGGGGAGACUGGAAUUCCUGGUGUAGCGGUGGAAUGCGCAGAUAUCAGGAGGAACACCGAUGGCGAAGGCAGGUCUCUGGGCCGCAACUGACGCUGAGGAGCGAAAGCAUGGGGAGCGAACAGGAUUAGAUACCCCGGUAGUCCCUGUCUCUUAUAC
rnacentral:rRNA from 1 species